rnacentral:misc_RNA from 1 species
AUUCUCAACCCAACAAGUUCUUAACGGGACUUUGCUUGUGGCUUGGACUUGGAGGUUUGUCGGCUCAUUABCAGUCGGCUCCUCUCAAAUGCAUUAACUUGGUUCCUUGCGGAUCGGCUCACGGUGUUGAUAAUUGUCUACGCCGCGACCGUUGAAGCGUUUAAUGGCCAGCUUCUAAUCRUCUCUUGCGAGACAGCAUUCAUCGAA